GUGACUGCGUACCUUUUGUAUAAUGGGUCAGCGACUUAUAUUCUGUAGCAAGGUUAACCGUAUAGGGGAGCCGGAGGGAAACCGAGUCUUAACCGGGCGUUAAGUUGCAGGGUAUAGACCCGAAACCCGGUGAUCUAGCCAUGGGCAGGUUGAAGGUUGGGUAACACUAACUGGAGGACCGAACCGACUAAUGUUGAAAAAUUAGCGGAUGACCUGUGGCUGGGGGUGAAAGGCCAAUCAAACCGGGAGAUAGCUGGUUCUCCCCGAAAGCUAUUUAGGUAGCGCCUCGUGAAUUCAUCUCCGGGGGUAGAGCACUGUUUCGGCUAGGGGGCCAUCCCGGCUUACCAACCCGAUGCAAACUGCGAAUACCGGAGAAUGUUAUCACGGGAGACACACGGCGGGUGCUAACGUCCGUCGUGAAGAGGGAAACAACCCAGACCGCCAGCUAAGGUCCCAAAGUCAUGGUUAAGUGGGAAACGAUGUGGGAAGGCCCAGACAGCCAGGAUGUUGGCUUAGAAGCAGCCAUCAUU
rnacentral:rRNA from 1 species